rnacentral:rRNA from 1 species
GAUGAACGCUGGCGGCGUGCCUAAUACAUGCAAGUCGAACGCGAAGCCCUGGAGUAAUCUGGGGUGGAGAGUGGCGGACGGGUGAGUAACACAUGGCUGACCUGCCCUUCAGAGGGGGACAACUGCUGGAAACGGCAGCUAAUACCCCAUACGCUCGUCGGGAUUAGAAGCUGGCGAGGAAAGGUUGAGGCGCUGAAGGAGGGGGCUGUGGCCCAUCAGCUAGUUGGUAGGGUAACGGCCUACCAAGGCGAGGACGGGUAGGGGGCCUGAGAGGGUGACCCCCCACACGGGCACUGAGACACGGGCCCGACUCCUACGGGAGGCAGCAGUAAGGGAUAUUGCGACAAUGGGCGAAAGCCUGACGCAGCAACGCCGCGUGCGGGAUGACGGCCUUCGGGUUGUAAACCGCUUUUCAGGGGGAAGAGGAAGGACGGUACCCCUGGAAUAAGUCUCGGCUAACUACGUGCCAGCAGCCGCGGUAAAACGUAGGAGGCGAGCGUUAUCCGGAUUUACUGGGUGUAAAGCGCGUGCAGGCGGUCUGGGAAGUGGUGCGUGAAAGCGCCCGGCUCAACCGGGCGAGGCCGUGCCAAACUGCCAGGCUAGAGGUAGGUAGAGGCGUGUGGAAUUCCGGGUGUAGUGGUGAAAUGCGUAGAGAUCCGGAGGAACACCAGUGGCGAAGGCGACACGCUGGGCCUGACCUGACGCUCAGACGCGAAAGCAUGGGGAGCGAACGGGAUUAGAAACCCCGGUAGUCCAUGCUGUAAACGAUGUCGACUAGGUGUGGGGGUGUAACAGCCUCUGUGCCGCAGCUAACGUGAUAAGUCGACCACCUGGGGACUACGGCCGCAAGGUUA